rfam:Myotis lucifugus cont2.47197, whole genome shotgun sequence.
GGUGGUUCUUGGGUAUCGCACCCCGGAAUCGGGCUCCCUCCUCUCUGGUUCCAGGUGUACCACCCAAGAACCGCA